rnacentral:siRNA from 1 species
CGAGAGGAACCGUUGAUUCGC